rnacentral:tRNA from 1 species
GAGACUUUAACUUAAUUAAAGUGUCUGGGUUGCAUUCAGAGUAUGUGAGGUAGUCUUGCAGGUCUUA